CGUAACCAACGUCAGAACAGCUUAUAUUUCGUUACUCUUAAAGCUCGGCCACACAUGCGCGUUUUGAUAGCGUAGGCGGAGCGGUAGCGGAGCGUCAGCGGAGCGCAACGAUAGCGGUGCGCCGAACGAACGCUGGCGUUGGGCCCAGCAAACGCCGGCGGGGACUAACGAGCGCGUAUUGCGAGCGGAAUGUGGGCGAAUUGCGAGCGGAACGCCAGCGUUCCGCCAGCGCACCGCUAUCAUUGCGCUCCGCUGACGCUACGCUAUCAAAACGCUUUAUGUGUGGCGGAGGCUUUAGUUAGGAUAACGAAGCGUAAGCGAUUGUGACUUUGGCUAGAUAUCCAUAAUUGUGCGUGUCGCUCGCGCCAUAGCCAAUGUGAAAUGAGUGAAGGGAACGACUGAAGAAUUUCACCUAAUUUAUUUGCUCCUCUUAUGGAUUUAAUUGCACUACUCCAUUCAUUUUAAAGAAUAUAAUUAUGUACAAAACUUUUACAAAAUAAAGCACUAUUCAACUGUA
rnacentral:lncRNA from 1 species